UUUUUUUAUGGCUACGCUAUGCCUUUUGCCAGUGUCGAGUUAAAAACGGGGAAACGGGAAUUGAGGAAAAUUGCCUAAUAUCGGAAUUUGGAAAGGAUUUGGAUCAGGAAAAUAAGGAUAUAAAACAGGGAAAAUAAACAUUAUUAUACACAUAAAUAAAAAUUAAGUUUAUAAACAUCAUAACUUUAAACUAUUUACAGAAAUAAAAGAGGCUAUACAAUUAUAUACAUGAACAUCUUUGUGAAACAGGAGAGACAUUAUGGAAGUCGGGAAGGGAAUAUGCAAAGAGGUUACCGCCUCAUUUGCAAGACGAUCAGCAAUUUCGUUGCCUCUAAUCCCGCUGUGACCAGGAAUCCAAACGAAACAAACAUUCAGACCAAGGUUAGAGGACAAUACGUCUGCAUAGGACUUUGAGGCUGGAGGGUGAAUCUUGGAAGCCUCUGCAUAUGAGAUGGAAUUUUCAGCCAUAUAAGACUUAAUUUUUUUCUGACGGAUGAAUUCUGGGCAUGACUUGCUAGUUGCAAAGUGGAAACCGGAGCAAAGACAACAGGAAGCUUGGUCUUCAUAAACAGAGCACGAAUCUCCCAUGUGGGCCUGCCCACACUUAAAACAGCGAGGCUGGGACCUACAUUGGGCCUUUGUAUGACCAAAUCGGCAACAAUUAAAACAUUGUACUGUAGGAAAGAUAUACAAUUCAACUGGUAAAGCAUUGUAGCAAAUAAAUACUCUUUUUGGUAAGGUUUGUCCGUCAAAUGUUACAACAACUGAUUGAGAGGGUUUCCAAGAAACUGAACCAUUAUUAAAAGAUUUAAAAUUCA